UACGUAGGUGGCAAGCGUUGUCCGGAUUUAUUGGGUUUAAAGGGUGCGUAGGCGGUCUAUUAAGUCAGUGCUGAAAUAUCCCGGCUUAACCGGGAGGGUGGCAUUGAUACUGAUGGACUUGAGUAAAGUUGAGGUAGGCGGAAUUUACGGUGUAGCAGUGAAAUGCGUAGAUAUCGUAAGGAAGACCAGUGGCGAAGGCGAAUCUCUGGACAGUUACUGACACUGAGGCACGAAGGCCAGGGGAGCAAACGGG
rnacentral:rRNA from 1 species